AUUGAACGCUGGCGGCAUGCCUUACACAUGCAAGUCGAACGGUAACAGGUCUUCGGAUGCUGACGAGUGGCGAACGGGUGAGUAAUACAUCGGAACGUGCCUAGUAGUGGGGGAUAACCACUCGAAAGAGUGGCUAAUACCGCAUGAGAUCUACGGAUGAAAGCAGGGGAACGCAAGACCUUGUGCUACUAGAGCGGCCGAUGGCAGAUUAGGUAGUUGGUGGGAUAUAAGCUUACCAAGCCGACGAUCUGUAGCUGGUCUGAGAGGACGAUCAGCCACACUGGGACUGAGACACGGCCCAGACUCCUACGGGAGGCAGCAGUGGGGAAUUUUGGACAAUGGGCGAAAGCCUGAUCCAGCAAUGCCGCGUGCAGGAUGAAGGCCUUCGGGUUGUAAACUGCUUUUGUACGGAACGAAAAGCCCCGGGUUAAUACCCUGGGGUCAUGACGGUACCGUAAGAAUAAGCACCGGCUAACUACGUGCCAGCCGCCACGGUAA
rnacentral:rRNA from 1 species